rnacentral:rRNA from 1 species
CAAUAGCGUAUAUUAAAGUUGUUGCGGUAAAAAAGCUCGUAGUUGGAUUUCUGUUGCGGAUGGCCGGUCCAUACAAUGUAUGCGUAUCUGGUUUUCAUUCGCGGCAUCCUCUCGAAAGACGGCUCUGUGCUUUAUUGCAUGGAUCGGAGUUCGGGACUUUUACUUUGAGGAAAUUAGAGUGUUCACGGCAGGCUAUCGCCCGAAUACAUUAGCAUGGAAUAAUAACAUAGGAUCUUGAUCCUAUUUUGUUGGUUUCUAGGGUUAAGAUAAUGAUUAAUAGGAACAAUUGGGGGCAUUCGUAUCAACACGUCAGAGGUGGAAUUCUUGGAUUGUGUUGCGACGAACUACUGCGAAAGCAUUUGCCAAGGAUGUUUUCAUUGAUCAAGAACGAAAGUAAGGGGAUCGAAGACGAUUAGAUACCGU